GACAAACGCUGGCGGCGUGCCUAAUACAUGCAAGUCGAACGACGAAAGCCUUCGGGCAAGUAAGAGUGGCGCACGGGCGAGGAACACGUAGAUAAUCUGCCCUUCAGUGGGGAAUAACUCUCCGAAAGGAGUGCUAAUACCGCAUAAGACCACAAGCUCUGCGGAGCAAGGGGUUAAAGGAUUUAUUCGCUGAAGGAUGAGUCUGCGUCCGAUUAGCUAGUUGGUGAGGUAAUGGCUUACCAAGGCAAUGAUCGGUAGAUGGUCUGAGAGGAUGAUAAUCCGCACUGGAACUGAGACACGGUCCAGACGCCUACGGGAGGCAGCAGUAGGGAAUAUUGCAAAAUGGGGGAAACCCUGAUGCAGCAACGCCGCGUGAGUGAUGAAGGCUCUAGGGUCGUAAAGCUCUGUCGUAUGGGAAGAAAAAAAUGACGGUACCAUACAAGAAAGGACCGGCCAACUUCGUGCCAGCAGCCGCCGUAA
rnacentral:rRNA from 1 species